GACGUAGGGGGCCAGCGUUGUUCGGAAUUACUGGGUGUAAAGGGUUCGUAGGCGGUGCGGCAAGUCGGGAGUGAAACCUCCAGGCUCAACCUGGAGACGCCACCCGAUACUGCUGUGGCUUGAGUCCGGUAGGGGAGCGUGGAAUUCCUGGUGUAGCGGUGAAAUGCGCAGAUAUCAGGAGGAACACCAGCGGCGAAGGCGGCGCUCUGGGCCGGAACUGACGCUGAGGAGCGAAAGCGUGGGUAGCAAACAGG
rnacentral:rRNA from 1 species